UCAGGGCUUCGGCUCUUGUCAAGCUUAGGCCUAAAUUUAACACCAUCCAUCUAUGAAACUCUGUAAUGUGGUAGAGAGAGAGAGAAUGAACAUAAAUUAUUUGGAGUGUCAGCACAUAAAAAGUUAGAGCUAUAAAUGGUGUAUGGAGUGCCACCUUACUACUCCCUGACACACGGUCAGAUGUCCUGUUAGCCAGGAACAGAAAGUCAUGGUCAGGUA